AAAUUUAAAUAGUUUAAUAAAAAUACUAAUUUGUGGUGUUAGUGAUAUGAAAUAAUUCAUUUUAGAUC
rnacentral:tRNA from 1 species